CCCAGCGCCUCAUGUGCACCCUAAAUAUUAAAGUCUCCAUGAAAACUCCAGUUUCUAGUAUGUGACACCCUAGGUCCCUGGGGUCACCAGGAAAGAACAGGUGACCAGGAUCUAGACUUCCCAAAGCCACCUGGUGUCCUCAUGAUUCCCCAGGAGGCAAGAGCAGGAAGACAGCACAUUGGCCAAUGACUGGUUCACCAGUCACUAGGACAGGGUGGUGACUUUGAACCAACUGCUGAGCCAGCCCUUCCCAGCCACACUGCACAGCCUCUAUCACUCCCUUAGGGACUGAGUGCAGCUGGACUCCAAUGGGGUGGGACUUCUGUGGUGUGACCUAGUGAGGAGGAGGGGCACCAAGGCUGCCAGAACACUCACAGCCUGGUCAGUCCUGGCAGCCACAACUCCCAGACCACACCCACUGCUCCUGGGAUUCUUCCAACUCUCAGCAUAGGACACUGACUGGCCCUCGCUCUGUCCUGCCCUGUUCAGUGACUGGGACAGUGAAGUAACUCAGCCAACGGGAAGGGCUGCUUACAGCCAAUUGCAUCAGAUCAGUCCCCUGGUCACAAGGGCGAGUUUUACUUGCAUGGGUGCCUGUCUCUCCACUGGGGUGCCCUCACUGAGCUGUCUGGGGGUAGAGUACAGGGUGAGUGUCAUGCCUGGAGACAGAAUACACUUCACCAAACGCACUCUGACCCUGGGUUGUUGGCUCUUUCAGAGCCUGCUUGGCGUUGAGGGCUCUGUAUGGAGUCCCCUGAGCCUGAGGUGCCAGCUUUGAGCUGGCUACCAGGCUCAAGGACAGCAGAACAACAGUUUGGAACGGGACGAAGGCGGCCGCGGCCACCAGAAGCCUUGAGUGCCAUUCUGCGCAAGCGCAUGGACGCCAGGUCGGCCUCUCCACUCCGGGCACACGCCCGGAUCGCGCAGCCGCACUCCGCGACGCCGUCGAUGCCUUUCCACGCUCGGCUCCACAUCGGGAACGCGCAGCCGCACUUCCUCAGUGCUCCACGCGCCACUUCUCUCUGAGCCCCCCCCAACAAGCUCGAAGAGCGCAGCCGCGUUAGGCGCCCCAAGGCGCUGUUUGCGCAGUUGCACUAGGCG
rnacentral:lncRNA from 1 species